rnacentral:rRNA from 1 species
UACGAAGGGUGCAAGCGUUACUCGGAAUUACUGGGCGUAAAGCGUGCGUAGGCGGUUCGUUAAGUCUGAUGUGAAAGCCCUGGGCUCAACCUGGGAAUGGCAUUGGAAACUGGCGAGCUAGAGUGCGGUAGAGGGUAGUGGAAUUCCCGGUGUAGCAGUGAAAUGCGUAGAGAUCGGGAGGAACAUCCGUGGCGAAGGCGACUACCUGGACCAGCACUGACACUGAGGCACGAAAGCGUGGGGAGCAAACAGG